rnacentral:rRNA from 1 species
AGUGAACGCUGGCGGUAGGCCUAACACAUGCAAGUCGAACGGCAGCACAGUAAGAGCUUGCUCUUACGGGUGGCGAGUGGCGGACGGGUGAGGAAUACAUCGGAAUCUACUUUUUCGUAGGGGAUAACGUAGGGAAACUUACGCUAAUACCGCAUACGACCUACGGGUGAAAGCAGAGGAUCUUCGGACCUUGCGCGAUUGAAUGAGCCGAUGUCGGAUUAGCUAGUUGGCGGGGUAAAGGCCCACCAAGGCGACGAUCCGUAGCUGGUCUGAGAGGAUGAUCAGCCACACUGGAACUGAGACACGGUCCAGACUCCUACGGGAGGCAGCAGUGGGGAAUAUUGGACAAUGGGCGCAAGCCUGAUCCAGCCAUACCGCGUGGGUGAAGAAGGCCUUCGGGUUGUAAAGCCCUUUUGUUGGGAAAGAAAAGCAGCAGGUUAAUACCCCGCUGUUCUGACGGUACCCAAAGAAUAAGCACCGGCUAACUUCGUG